UUUUAUUCAAGAACUUAUAUC
rnacentral:piRNA from 1 species